rnacentral:rRNA from 1 species
AUACGGAGGGUGCAAGCGUUGUUCGGAAUUACUGGGCGUAAAGGGCGCGCAGGCGGUUUGGUAAGUCAGAUGUGAAAGUCCUGGGCUUAACCCUGGAAGUGCAUAUGAAACUGUCAGACUUGAGUAUCAGAGGGGAAAGUGGAAUUCCCGGUGUAGAGGUGAAAUUCGUAGAUAUCGGGAGGAAUACCGGUGGCGAAGGCGACUUUCUGGCUGAAUACUGACGCUGAGGCGCGAAAGCGUGGGGAGCAAACAGGAUUAGAAACCCGGGUAGUCC